GAUGAAGAACGUAGCGAAAUGCGAUACGUAAUGUGAAUUGCAGAAUUCAGUGAAUCAUCGAAUCUUUGAACGCAUAUUGCGCUCUCUGGUAUUCCAGAGAGCAUGCUUGUUUGAGUAUCAGUAAACACCUCAACUUCCAUAUCUUUUUUGAAAUGGGAGUUGGACUUGAGUGAUCCCAACGCUUUUCCUCACCGAAAAGUGGCGGGUUACUUGAAAUGCAGGUGCAGCUGGACUUUUCUCUGAGCUAUAAGCAUAUCUAUUUAGUCUGCCUAAAAAACAGAUUAUUACCUUUGCUGCAGCUAACAUAAAGGAGAUUAGUUCUUGUGCUGACUGAUGCAGGAUUCACAAAGACAGGCUUCGGCCGACUUUGUAAACUCGAUCUCAAAUCAAGUAAGACUACCCGCUGAACUUAAGCAUAUCAAUAAGCGGAGGA
rnacentral:misc_RNA from 1 species